AUUGAACGCUGGCGGCAGGCCUAACACAUGCAAGUCGAACGAGUGGCGGACGGGUGAGUGAUGUCUGUGAAACUGCGUGAAGGCGGGGGAUAACUACUGGAAACGGUAGUUAAUACCGCGUACACUCAGUUGUACCCCGAUGGGAUUAGCUAGUAGGUGGGGUAAAGGCUCACCUCGGCGACGCUCCCUAGCUGGUCUGAGAGGAUGACCAGCCACACUGGAACUGAGACGCGGUCCAGACUCCUACGGGAGGCAGCAGUGGGGAAUAUUGCACAAUGGGCGCAAGCCUGAUGCAGCCAUGCCGCGUGUAUGAAGAAGGCCUUCGGGUUGUAAAGUACUUUCAGCGGGGAGGCGUUACCCGCAGAAGAAGCACCGGCUAACUCCGUGCCAGCAGCCGCGGUAAUAC
rnacentral:rRNA from 1 species